rnacentral:lncRNA from 1 species
ACGAUCUUCAGCAUUAAGUAAUACCAAUUAGAAAAAGUAAACGACAGAAAAUAUCAAAGAUAUAAUGCAGCAGCUCUCCAAAUGACAUGCUUUUUCGUGGGUUCAAAGUCGUCUCUCAUAUUUAUUUAUCUAUCCAUAUUCAUUCAGUUAGUUGAAUGUGAAAUGGAAUCAACCAACCCGAAACAGUUGACUGGCUAUCAAGUCAACCCAUACAACUUACAUCACCCAGAUUAAAAUCAUUAUAAUAAGCAUUUUCAUUUUAAAUGUUCUACAUUCUCUCUGGAACAUGACGCCAUAGCUACGUCGCGUGCGUUACAAAUUUCUUGACCCCCAGGCACGCCAAUCUGUUCUUACUGCAACUGUGCUGUGUACUGAAAAUUCAAACCCAAGAAUUGUCAAAGCCUUUUAAUGGGAACGGUGGACCAGUCUCCACGCCCAGAUGAAAUUCUUCCUCAACUGUAAUGUGAACAACUUGGAUGCUGGACCACUGAGUUAUCUGCUUUCAUCUUUAUCUUCAG